AGCAGAGCACUCCUACGGGAGGCAGCAGUGAGGAAUAUUGGUCAAUGGAGGGAACUCUGAACCAGCCAUCCCGCGUGUAGGAAGACGGCCUUAUGGGUUGUAAACUACUUUUAUACAGGAAGAAACGUACCCUCGUGAGGGUGCCUGACGGUACUGUAGGAAUAAGCACCGGCUAACUCCGUGCCAGCAGCCGCGGUAAUACGGAGGGUGCGAGCGUUAAUCGGAAUUACUGGGCGUAAAGCGCAUGCAGGUGGUUUGUUAAGUCAGAUGUGAAAGCCCGGGGCUCAACCUCGGAACUGCAUUUGAAACUGGCAGACUAGAGUACUGUAGAGGGGGUAGAAUUUCAGGUGUAGCGGUGAAAUGCGUAGAGAUCUGAAGGAAUACCGGUGGCGAAGGCGGCCCCCUGGACAGAUACUGACACUCAGAUGCGAAAGCGUGGGGAGCAAACAGGAUUAGAUACCCUGGUAG
rnacentral:rRNA from 1 species